GACGAACGCUGGCGGCGUGCUUAACACAUGCAAGUCGAACGGAAAGGCCCUGCUUGCAGGGUACUCGAGUGGCGAACGGGUGAGUAACACGUGGGUGCUCUGCCCUGCACUUCGGGAUAAGCCUGGGCAACUGGGUCUAAUACCGGAUAGGAGCCAUUUUUAGCGUGAUGGUUGGAAAGUUUUUUCGGUGUAGGAUGAGCUCGCGGCCUAUCAGCUUGUUGGUGGGGUAAUGGCCUACCAAGGCGGCGACGGGUAGCCGGCCUGAGAGGGUGGACGGCCACAUUGGGACUGAGGUACGGCCCAGACGCCUACGGGAGGCAGCAGUGGGGAAUAUUGCACAAUGGGCGCAAGCCUGAUGCAGCGACGCCGCGUGGGGGAUGACGGCCUUCGGGUUGUAAACUCCUUUCGCUGGGGACGAAGCUUUUUGUGACGGUACCUAGAUAAGAAGCACCGGCUAACUACGUG
rnacentral:rRNA from 1 species